AUGACAGAGUCGAUUGAUGGAAACCCUUGGAGAAUUCUCGAACUUGUGGCUGAGAAUGAAUAUCAUCUAGAACAAGACAAUAAUGUUGAUCAACUUGAACAAUUUUCUGUAAUCCCCGGAUUUCAAGAAGAACUUGUUGAAUUUGCAAAGAAAAAACUAUUGGAUUCCAUAGAAGUUCAACAAUUUCUUGUGGAAAGAGAUAUUGAGUUUCAGGAGAAGAAUAUUGCGUCACUGAUAGAUGAAUUAAGUGAUAAUCAAGACGAUGAGUCGAAUUCCAAAGAAAUACAUUUGGAAUUGAAAUCUUCAAAAAACAAAUAUGAAGGUCUUAGAAAGAAGAUCGCAAGUUUCAAAGGGAGACAACAGAAAGCUGUGGGAUUUUUGAAUUCUGGACUAGAGGAAAUUCGAAUUCUAACUUCUCCCAAUGACAAAUUUUGCUACAAAGUGAAGAAUGCUUCUUGGAGGUGUUCGGUCGAUAAUUCCAUUGAUCUACAGAAGAUCAAAUUGAUAUGCGAGAAGUUAAUCGGAUUGGAAAAGAAAAUGGAAGUUACAUUUUGGACAUCUGAGAUCAUGAAACUUCUAGAAAAUCUUGAUCAACGACAUUAUGCAGUAGCAUUUGGGAUUAUUAUUGGGAUGGCAACUUGGGAAUACGAAAACUCAGAAAAAUAUCAUUUGCUGGCACUUAUACACCUUUCAAUUGGUAGAGAUGAAACAAAGACGGAUGUACUUCUGUAUUGGGAGAAUUGGGAGAAUGAGUCAAUUGAACAAUCCAUCGUUAGUUUGAGAAUUUUGAUGAUUUUCUACAUGAAAAUAAGUAUUGAUGAUUUGGAGUGCAGGGAAAACUUUGAGUUCAGAAUUUGCCAGGUAAUCGUUUUCAUUUUGGAGCACAAAGAGUUUGAGUCAAGCCACUUGACCAUGAUAACUGAACUCCUCGGAAGUAUUGAACAACGAUUUGGGAAUUUCACGGAAAUGUGUGACAUUAUGUUCACACAUUUUGAAGCGAAAGCUCAGAUGUUUGACAGGUUUGUUAUUAAAAUCUUUUUGAUUGCUAUCCAGGACUCUCACAUUUCCUUCGACACUUGGAACGCACUUUUCGGCCAAACGCCGUUUCAAACUUUGUCAGGAUUUUGGAAGACGUUGGUGAGACUAUGAGCAGUAGGAGAAAAUCGGAUGUCUGUCCAACUUCUGCUCAAUGUUUGAAACAUUUCUAAAAAACUAUCGGCGGACUUCUAGAUUUUAAACUGAUGAACCUUUUUUUGUAGCUAUGAAGCAAAGAUGCUAGUUUUCAUGAGAAAUGAGCAUUUGUCUCUUCUCCAAACACAACACAUCGACCAAUGCAUGGACACUCUGAAUAUUCUGAUUUUAUUGUACUUGAAAAUAAAAAUCGAUAAGUGGACGUAUAGAGAGAUAAUUGAACAAAGAAUUUCUCAGUUCAUCAUUUGCAUUUUGGAGCACACAGAGUUUCAGUCAAUCCACUUGACACUUAUAAUUCAGCACCUUGAAAGUAUCGAGCAACAAUUCGGGUGCUUUUCUGGAAAGUUCGACAAUAUGUUCAAAAUUUUUGAAUUGAAGCUUCAGAUUCUUGACAGACCAGAACAAGAACGAGUUUCCAAAUGGAUAAAGUCGCUUUCUUUGCGUUCUUCAAUCUCAGAGUUCUCGUCUGAACACUCUCAUAGUACAGUUACAGUAAUUGAGCACUCUGAGAAAACCUAUGAGCUUGAACAAAACGUUCGAAUUGACCUUGAGGAAACAUUGAAAUUGGAGAAAAGAAUUGAAGAAGUAUCGAUAGAGGAAUCCAAGAAGAAACAGGAGAAACUGGAGUUGAAGCAGAGAGAGGAGGAAGAAGCAAGAAUCAAGGAAGAAGAAGAAAAACAAAGAAAGAUUUUGGAAGAGGAAGCUAGGAAAAAACAGGAAGAGGAAGAAGCAAGGUUAAAAGCGGAGGAAGAAUUGAAAAUUUAUGAAGAAGAAAAACGCAAGAAAGAGUUGGAAGAGGAAAGGAAGAAGAAGGAAGAACUGGAAAUAAAACGGAAAGCUGAAGAAGAGAAGAAAAAAAAAGCUCUGGAAGAGGAAAAGAAAAGAAAAAUCGCAGAAGAGAAAGCUAGGCAAAAACAGGAAAAAGAAAGAAAAAAGCAGGCGAAUAAAUGCACAUUCCUCCAAAAUUUCACAUUUAUCAGGCACCAACAUCCAUCUCAAACAUAUAACGAGCGAGUGCUCGAUGGAAAAGUGGUUGGACUGUAUUUCUCUGCUCAUUGGUGUCCGCCAUCUCGCGAUUUCACUCCGGUUCUUGCACAAUUCUAUAGUCAAGUAGAGGAUAACUUCGAAAUACUAUUCGUUUCGAGCGACAAUAAUACACAAGAAAUGAACUUCUACUUGCAAAAUUUCCAUGGCGAUUGGUUCCAUUUGCCACUCAAUUUGUGCAAUUCAAUGAAGCACCGAAAUACCAAAAAUCAUAUUCCUGCCUUAAUAAUAAUGAAACCCGAUGGAACAGUUAUUACUGAUGAUGGACGAAAUCUAGUUUCUCAAUGGAUCAACGAUCCGAAAGCAUUGGUCAACCAUUGGAAAGCAAUGUUGAACUGA
rnacentral:misc_RNA from 1 species